rnacentral:rRNA from 1 species
AGUUUUAUUUUUUCCCCCCGUUUUUUUCCAAAACAUGUCUGUAUGAAUAAAAUGUAAAGUCUGGCCUGCCCACUGAUAAUUAAUUUUAAAGGGCCGCGGUAAUUUGACCGUGCAAAGGUAGCAUAAUCAGUAGUCUUUUAAUUGGGGGCUAGAAUGAAUGGUCGGACAAGAAGCUGUCUGUCUUUAUUGUAGAAGUUGAAUUUAACUUUUAGGUGAAAAGGCUUAAAUGUGUUGGGGGGACGAUAAGACCCUAUAAAACUUGACAUAAAAAGUUGAUUUUUAAGUUGUUGUGUUAAAAUAGGUCAGGCUUAUUUUGUUACGUUGGGGCGACGGAGAUAUAAUGUGUAACUGUUAGUAAAUUGAAAUAAUUAUAUUUAGUUGUUUAAUUGAUCCUUUUGUAGAGAUUAUAAGAAAAAGUUACUUUAGGGAUAACAGCGUGAUUUUUUCUGAGAGUUCUUAUCGACGAAAGUAGUUGCGACCUCGAUGUUGAAUUAAGAUGUUAUUAGGGUGUAGAAGUUCUAAUUGUAGGUCUGUUCGACCUUUAAAAUCUUACAUGAUUUGAGUUCAAACCGGUGUGAGCCAGUGGGUUUCCUAAAUAA